GUAUUAAUCGGUCAAAAUUCUAUACGGUCGGUUAACGGUUAACCGGUUUAAAUGAACAUUACAACCCUAGUACCGACCGACUACAGACAUUUUGGUGACACUAGUUUUUGUGAGAGCAUCAAAUUGUGAAUUCAAUAUUGGGAAUCGAACUUUUAAUCGUUGCACCCUUAAUCAUUUAUUUUUCAUUAUGAAAUAUGGUCCAAAAAAUCCACAGAGAAGUCUGGAAAUGGAAAUUGUGUAGGAACCCUGUGUUGAGCAUUAUGUAAGCUGCGAAAUGUUCUGUGUGGUUUUCAGCUCUAGUUUAGCAUCUAAUAGUAAUUCUGGAGUACAGGUAUAGACCAAUAAUGUUGCGCAGACCUGAGAUGUCAGCUCUCAUUUCCUGCUUCGCUUGCAUUUUGCUGAAAUACAUCUUGCAAAAUUACGAUUGUGGAAUCGCAGGUCUGUGCCCACAGUCUCAAGAUAACUAAUGCAAUAUGGCACAUUAUUUAUUCAUUCUCUUGUAAUUCUUUUUCUCAUUUUUGAAAUGAAAUGCUGGUUUGAUAUUCCAGUAGAUAAGAUAAGAAUUGACUAUAUUCUCUUUGCAUAUAGCUCGUUUGACUGUAAGAGGUUCACCUCCUUAUCUCUGGGUUGUUUGUACCUGUCUUCCAGUAGACGCCGCCGAGGUACUGAGCGCCGAACCCAUCGACCUCCAGUGCGUUCCCAUGGAGGCCCAUUUCUGUCCCGUUCCUAAACUCCUGGUUGCUGCACCAAUGACGCUGAAUCCAACAACCCCCUUCUGAUGGCUGGACUGUCUCUGCCAAAAUCCAUGCUCUGCCCCUCCUGCUGCGUGACAGUCUGUUCGUCUCCACUUUUUGUUCAGCCAUGUUUCGUGCAUCCCUGAGUACUAUAAGAUCGGUUUUCAGUGUACGUUAGUUGCCAAAAUUAUUCUUUAAACUGCAUGUUUAGUGGUUUAAACACUCUGAUUGGUACACAUAUGUUAAAUCCCUAUCAUUAAAAUCACAAGGAUAUUUGCAAAAUCCUUUCUAGAAGUCACACCUGAUUUGAAUAUCCAGUAUCUCUCCCAGUUUGCUGUAUUCAGCAGCAUAUGCGACCCCCUGCACAGACAUGUCAAGUGCACUGCUUUUGUGCCAGUGACUCUCAGACAGGUCACCCUGUGCCAAUCACUGGAGAACUCAGACUGCACAAUCAGGCCUUGACAUGCCAAGGUCAUGAGCCAGAUGGAUUUAAAUUGCAAUAUUGCAAAUGUGCCCACCCAAGCAACAAAUCUAAAUCUAUUCAAGCAAGCUAUUAUCUUGUGCUUUGUUUUGAAACAUCUCAGUUAUUGCUACCGUUCAUUAAGCGAGUGCUACAGUUGGGAAACUCACAGUAGGGCGGUUUUCAGCAGCUGUUUUUAUUACUGCAUCAGUGGACGCCGUGUGCACCCACUAAUAGAGUUCCGGUCUCUGCCAACCAAGAGCUCUAUUAGAUUAUUGCCGUAAUACAUUAUUGAUAGUUUAUCCAUGGAGAAACAUGAAAACUGUGUCAGACAGACGAAAUCUAUUAGGGUCAUACUGGAGUUUCUCAUUUUCUCAUUUCUCAUUUUCCCAUUUUGACUUUGAGAUAGAUGGCUGAUUGAAUUCUAACUAUUUAAGUUGUUCUUGUGUUUGUUGUGUUCAUGUUUAGAGUGUGAACAGGUUUAAAUCACUGACUGUGUCCUUACUUUCAAAAGUCGGCAGACUCUAAAAUGCAAGGGCGCAGAUGACCGUGUGACAUCUGAAUAUGAUCUGUUUGGACUGUGAGCUGUAAGCUCUCAUGUAGACAUGUUACAAUUAAAAGGGAAAAGAAAAAAAAAGAAAUUUUGAUUAUUUUCAGACUGGGUACUUAGAAAAGGCCCUCAUCAGCCAAAGCUUCAUUUGCAAGACAUUUAACCGCCCCUCACGGGCCUUUACAUGCAUAUAUGAAUGUGACAUUUAAGACAGAGAGAAUGUCACGAGAGGUUUUGGAUGACUGUCUCACCAUUUCUCUCGAACAAAACUACAACCUUUCUCAACAUAUCAAGGAAGUGAAAGCCUCCCAAUGCCAUCCACUGUUGAUGUACAAACAGACAAAAAAACUAAAAAAAGCGUUUUUCAUCUCUUAUCUCAAAGACCCUUCUCUAAACUGUUGUCUCCUUUGGGACAGCCAUGUUGUUACAACAGCAUAACCCCAAGAGAGCCAUAAUGCUGAUUUUACGUGAUAACCUGACCUAAAAACAUAAUUGCAACUUUUUUCCUGAUCAGCACACACUAUCUAGGCCAAACGCAAGUGAAAUUAUAUACAAUGGUGGUCUAAACAAGACACAAUCAGAGCAAGAUGAUACUAUACUGUGUUAUAACUAAAAUAGUAUCUGUAUUGUAAACACAUCUGUAUAAUGUUCAUGUGUUUUAAGGUUCUUUUAAGAAAUACUGGGGCAAAUAUGUGUGGAUUCCUUUAGGAACGAUCUCUACUGUUUAUUGAUGUGUUGGAUUGUGUUUUGUAAUUAAGUUCCAUUGCCCAGCCAAGGUGUAGAAGCUCCUUUCUCUCUGUUUCUGUCUCUCUCUCUCUCUCUCUCUCUCUCUCUCUCUCUCUCAUAUAAAGAAUUAUGCCUUCUCCAACUGCAAUCCAGCUGGAAUCAACGAAAUACUUGAUAAAGAAAAAACAAUGUGCCUCAUUGGGGGCUUUAGCAUUUUAAGAACUCACUUUUUAAAAAGUGUGCAUACCUGCAUAAAGUAGUUAGCUAGAAUAAUCUAUGUGUACGUAUUACAAAUGCAUCGUCAUCGUCAUUCUAGUUUUUAUCGAAACACAUUAUUGAUCUUCGUAACGGUACCUGUUUUAACUAUAUCCUCACGACUUCAGUCAUGUUACGGUGUGUUGUUUUGACACAGCUGUCAAUGGUAGUUUGAGUUUGAUCAUUAGCGUUACUUGGUUAAUUACUUUACAUCGUAAAGUCUGUUAUCGCAUGAAAUUAAAAUAAUCGGAAAUAAUCUACAUCAUAGUUUGUGCAGUUAGUGGUUUAAGAUAAAAAAAUUACUUAAUCUAUAUAUCUAUAUAUCAAUAUACACAUUUGUAUGUAUUACAAUGAUAGAUUCAUUGUUACCUAUGAUAGUAAGUUUUUGUUGCUAUGGCAACAAAACUACAACAUGGCUACCUUUGUAUAUCUUAAUUGUGAAUUUUUUCACACUUCAAGUGAAAUAAUGUACAACGUUAACUUAUUCAGAAAGGGAAUGUGUUCUUUUAAGUUGUCUUGGAAAAAGAGAUGAUUGACUAUUUUGUAAAAUUAUAUAUAUAUAAACGUAUAGACUUGUGAGAUACUUUAUGUCCAAAGGCCCUUUGGAGACAUCAUACGUUAUUUCUGUUAAUGAUUAUUAUUUUUCUAUUGUGGUUGCUAAUCACUUUUAGAUAAGAACCAGAUCUUUACGUAAACAGCAUCUGAGCUUUUGAACUAAUCUGAUGGAUCAAUUUGGGGGAAAGAGACUUUCUAGUCUCAUAUUUGGUCCGAGAAGGUUUGGCGAUGCAUUCGCAAUGGUGCAUUCCAAAAAACAAAAAACAAACAAAAAAAACCAGGCGGUUUUUAUAAAUAGUGCAGCCCCAUGAUGUCAGUAACAGGACAGUAUCAGCCAUAAGUGAGCCCCUGAUUUAAGUCUCUGUCCCCCUCUGGCCCACCCAGACUGCACCCCAGCUGUGCUGGGACCUGGUGACUCGCGUCACCCCAUUGGUGUACGAAUGUGUGUUAUUCACCUUGUUUGCACUUAUGUACAUAACUGAUUCAAAAUAUUCAGAAUUUAUUUUGAAUAUACAUAGAUGAAUAAAUAUAUAUAUAUAUAUGUAGAAGAGCAGAUUCAAAUCAAAUGUCUGUAUUGUUCGGAAUACAGGUGAACAGUUAUCCUUUUAAAGGGUCGUCAAAGAGAUAGAUGCUGUUUUGCUGGGGUGUCGAGGAAUUUGUUGUUUGUUCUGUUUGCUAAUGCCCUCGUUCUCAUCGUUACGCAUGAUAUUGCAUUUUGCAGAGAACAUGAUGUCAAAAAAGGCUUUGUAGUUUUGCAUUGCUUACAAAAGCGCGGCGACCUGAGCUCUGCGCCUGCUUGCGUCUGAUCCUGAGGUGCGGUUGUGUCCAGAAACCAAAGAAUGGCCACCUUGUUUCUCUUGUACCUCUACGUCGUGCGAGUUUCAGGCUCACAGUUUUGUUUUCUGUGUAGUCCCAUGGGAUGCCAUGAAAAAGGGGGUGUAAUAACACUCUGCCCCCUACAGGAAGACCAAGAGGGCAGCAUAAAGAGCACCUCAGGAUCAGACUGCAGCUGGAAAGCAUUGCUGCAGGUUAUACAAAAUAACAUAUUUCAGUUUUCCGUUUGGUUUGGUUGUUGACGGACAUUUUCCAUUCUUGUGCACUCACCAAGACCAACAAAUAACCUGAAAAUCUCACAGGAUAUCCUCAAUCAAAAUUGCUCCAAAAUCCGAUGUGAAAUCGCCAGACAGAACACUCUGUUGAAGAAAACUUGUACAUUCUGUGCUCUACAGUUGCUUUGGAAGCCAAUAAUUUUGUUGCCAUGGCACUUGCCCUAAUAGUGAGGGAGAGACUGAGUCUUUUGUAGGUUCUUGCAUAUAGACGCACCUUUGGACCAAUCGAUUAUGGUCCUCAGCCUUUUAACUGUAAAGCUGAGGUAGCACUUAGGACUUAGCAUAGACUAAGGGGUCCCAACUUGCAUCCAGAAGAUGAAUGCGAACACACGGGGUGCUCCUUUUACCACUGUGCUUGACAGAGAAAAUCGACAAACACUCUUCUGCUGUCCAUUAUCCUGUGCCUAAACAUUCGGUGUGAUGUGAAAGGACUGGUCUGAAAAGAAAGCCAUUGAGGUUAGACUUCCACCUAACUGUGCCCAACAUUCAGUCACGUCGUCGUCAUUUCUGUGACUGGAACCCUAACGUCAAUGGUUCGUGUUUUAACAUGUAGAAGUCACUGAGACUGGAGCAUCACAUUAAUGUUGUACAAAGCUGUAUAGUUUCGAAUGAAAUCACUCAUUGAUGCAGAGGUUAUGUCCCUUUAAAGGCAUCGGCUGACGUUCGGUGACCAACGCCGAUGCCUGUGUAAAUGCUAUUGUGUGUGUGGAACCGUUCAAAGAAUGUCUACAUUGUUUCAAAGCCAUAUGUAAUAGAUUCCUCUCUCUCCCACUGUAGGACAAGAUCAAUCUGAAUGCUUUUACUCUUUAUAUGAAAUGCUUCUCUUUCUAUUUAGCUUAUUGUGCUUGUAUGUGCUUCAAGAACUGUGCUUCUUGUCAAUCCCUUUGCGAUAUAUAAAUGUAUGGAAUAUAUACAUACUUAAGACUUCUGUUCUUUUUGUUUGACAUUUUAAUAAAGCACUUAAAGGCA